ensembl:lncRNA
AUGGGAAGAGAGUGAGAUUACUCCAUACCGUGUAAGGCACACAAUCAACAAGGCAUUGUGGAGCUGCAGCCCAGCGGAUCUCUUAUCUCAGGUAGUUGGGGGGGAACAGCAGGUACUGUGGAGCCCCCCCCCCCCUCUCUUUCUCUCUCAGUGUAUGCUCACUCACAGGUAAGAGACCAAAUCCCAGUCACUGUAAAACAGUGACUGGUCUGCCAAGAAUAAGGACACUAUUUACUUCAUUAACAUCUCGAACCUUACCCUCAGUUUAGCCAUAUUAUUAUUUUACAUUUGGAGACAUUAGUCUCUGUGUUUUAAUUAUAUUAGUCUCUGUGCUUUAAUUAUACUUUCCUCCAUUUUGGUCCACAUUGCGCAUUGUCUCGCCAUGAGUCAGUAGAAAUGUCAGGGUGUUGGCUGCUGCUCUGCCAGACAGACAGCCUAGAGCUGGGUAAUUAGCCAGAGUCGUUUGGGGCAUGUGGCUCUGCAGAACUAGAUGCCCACUGUGCACAGGGAGACACCAGACAACCUUUAGUCUGCCCCGUCCCACUGCAGUCACUUAAAACACUGAUGUAUGUCCCCCCUCUCUGCCUCUAUCUCCCUCUCUCUCUUUUUUCUUGUUUCUAUUUUUUUUUUAAAUGUACCUCUCUUUCCCUCUCACUCUUUAUUUCACUCUCUCUUGUGUUCUCUGUCUCCCUCUCUCUCUCUCUCUCUCUCUUUCUCCCUCUCUGUCUCUGUUUCCCCAGGACGAAAAGAAGUAGGUAGCCAAGGUGUAAGGGACGGGGUGGCUGAAGGGCGGCGUUCCUCAGACGGAGCAGAGCCGAACGCUCUCUCCUCCUCUCCCCUUGUCAUUGGUAUGCAGUGGCUGUUCCCCAGGCGACAGGGCCACUGGGUUCGGGCUGAGCUUACUGCAAGAGGAAAGUCAGCGACACAGAGGAGAGGAGGACAGCAGACUGUGCUCAGGGAGCAGUGCGGCCAGGCUGCAGAUAUCAUCCAUCUCCCUGUCACUGGCCCAGGGGCUGCUGGGAAGGCAGCAGACAGCUCCUCGGCUCUGACGAUGGGAGCUGCAUCCUAAUUCUUCAACUCUGAUCGCUCGGAACACUCGCUCCUCCGCCGCCACCCAGGGUGAUACAUCUGGGAACAAAGCACAGAGCUUAGCCAGUCCACCAGAGCCUGCUGCUAGCAUCAUCUCCAUUACUCCUAAUAUUUAACCAUUUCUCACAGAUCACACCCUCACUGGGCAUUGUGUUGUUACUGAGGUGAAAGAUAAGAGUGUUUUUUAACCCUAGAUUAUAGAAGAAUCUCAGUAAGAAUAUAAAGUAAUUGUCAUAAACAUCCUUUAGAUAUACAGUAUCUCAAGCAUCAUAAACUUCUACUUGUUCAUAUCAUGCGUACAGUGGAUAUGUUCUAAGAUACUCAGAAGAACCUCUUUAUACACAGUUCCACAGUAAAUUUGACUUGGUAAAGUAUUCAUAUACUACAUACAAAACAAUAAAGACCUUGUA